rnacentral:rRNA from 1 species
UAAGUAGCGGCGAGCGAACGGGAAAGAGGCCAAACCGAAGGGCUUGCUCUUCGGGGUUGUGGAUCAGCAAAAAGGACGGAAGACCUUAGCAGAAGAGGAUUGGAAAGUCCCGCCAGAGAGGGUAAAAGCCCCUUACGCGAAAAGGUCAAACGACGAGCUGACACCAGAGUACCGCAGGACACGAGAAAUCCGGUGGGAAGCCGGGAGGACCACCUCCCAAGCCUAAAUACGAAUUGGUGACCGAUAGCGCAUAGUACCGUGAGGGAAAGGUGAAAAGAACCCCGGGAGGGGAGUGAAAAAGAACCUGAAACCCUGUGUUUACAAGCAGUGAAAGUGCAAGCAAGGCACGAUCACGUACUUUUUGUAGAACGGACCGGCGAGUUACGUUAUGCAGCAAGGUUAAGAACUGAAGGUUCGGAGCCGAAGCGAAAGCGAGUCUGAAUAGGGCGAUAGUUGCAUGACGUAGACCCGAAACCGGGUGACCUAUCCAUGAGCAGGUUGAAGUGGAGGUAAAGCUCCAUGGAGGACCGAACCAGACGUCUGUUGAAAAAGGCGGGGAUGACUUGUGGAUAGGGGAGAAAUUCCAAUCGAACCCGGAGAUAGCUGGUUCUCCUCGAAAUAGCUUUAGGGCUAGCCUCAUGGAUCAUUGGUGGGGGUAGAGCACUGAAUGUGCGCGGGGGCCACAAAGCCUACCAAACGCUAUCAAACUUCGAAUACCAUACAAUGCAGACCAUGGGAGUCAGUCCGCGAGAGAUAAGUUCCGCGGGCAAAAGGGGAACACCCCAGAUCAACCGCUAAGGUCCCCAAGUUCACGUUAAGUGGAGAAGGAUGUGGAAUUGCACAGACAACCAGGAUGUUGGCUCAGAAGCAGCCACACAUUUAAAGAGUGCGUAAUAGCUCACUGGUCGAGUGAUUGUGCGCCGAAGAUGUCCGGGGCUAAACGUGACACCGAAGCGAUGGGUGCAUCUGAAAGGAUGCGCGGUAGAGGAGCAAUGUGCAGAGGCAGAAGCCGUAUCGAGAGGCACGGUGGACACUGCACAAGAGAGAAUGCCGGUAUGAGUAGCGAGAGGCAUGCGAGAAACAUGCCCGUCGAAAGCCCAAGGUUUCCUGGGGAAGGUUCAUCCGCCCAGGGUAAGUCGGGGCCUAAGCCGAGGACGGAAGUCGUAGGCGAUGGACAGCAGGUGUAGAUUCCUGCACUACCGAUGGAAUGAAGCAGUGACACAGAAGGAUAACUCGAGCAGGGUGAUGGUCAACCCUGUGCAAGCAUCAAGGUUGGGUUGUAGUGAAGUACGCAACCCUAUAAGCUGAGGUGUGAUGCGGACCGAAAUUUCAGUAGGGAAGCGAGUGAGUUCACGCUGGCGAGAAAAGCUGCUAGUACAUCCAAAGGUACCCGUACCGGAAACCGACGCAGGUGGGCGAGGAGAGAAUCCUGAGACGAACGGGAGAACCCUUGUUAAGGAACUCGGCAAAAUGACCCCGUAACUUCGGGAUAAGGGGUGCCUGCGAGAGCAGGCCGCAGAGAAUAGUCACAAGCGACUGUUUAGCAAAAACACAGGUAUCUGCGAAAGCGAGAGCUGACGUAUAGGUGCUGACACCUGCCCGGUGCUGGAAGGUUAAGGGAACAUGUUAGAGCAAUCGAAGCAUCGAACCGAAGCCCCAGUAAACGGCGGCCGUAACUAUAACGGUCCUAAGGUAGCGAAAUUCCUUGUCGGGUAAGUUCCGACCCGCACGAAUGGUGUAACGACUUGUGAGCUGUCUCAACAGGGGGCCCGGUGAAAUUGAAGUAUGGGUGAAGAUGCCCAUUACCCGCGACUGGACGGAGAGACCCCGUAGAGCUUUACUGCAGCCUGAUAUUGAGUUUCGGUAACUGAUGCACAGGAUAGGUGGGAGUCUGAGAGACAUGGGUUUCGGCUCAUGUGGAGACGGUGUUGGGAUACCACUCUUCGGUUACUGAAAUUCUAACAUAGCUCUGUGAAACCAGAGGAUGGACAGUGUCAGGUGGACAGUUUGACUGGGGCGGUCGCCUCCGAAAGAGUAACGGAGGCGCCCAAAGGUACCCUCAGAAUGGAUGGAAACCAUUCGAAGAGCGCAAAGGCAGAAGGGUGCCUGACUGCGAGAUUGACAAAUCGAGCAGAGACGAAAGUCGGGCUUAGUGAUCCGGCGGUAUUGAGUGGAAAAGCCGUCGCUUAACGGAUAAAAGCUACCUCGGGGAUAACAGGCUGAUCUCCC